CCUAAAUGCAAGCACCGGCCUUGUUUCAGUGGGAAAUCGCUCCCCUGAGUGAUUUCUAAACUGGGCAGAGGGUUAAUGGGCAGAGGCUGGGGGAGUCUUGAGACAGGGACACCUCUUUGCUGGGCUGGGAGGUUCACUUUCUGCAGGCAACAGGGCAUGGGAAGGGCCAGGAAGGGGAGGGAGGAGCAACUGUCCCACAUGGAGAUGGCCCAGCACCAGGUUUCCCAGUCCCAGCUACUCCCCCCUCCCCAUCACCUGCUAGUCACAUUCCCAGACCCCACUGCCAGCCCCUCCCCACAGCCAGCGACCUUCUGACUGCAGCCUCACUCCUUUCCCCUGUGAAAAGACAUCACCCAGGGCUCCCUCCUGGCUCUGUGUGUGACUGAGAUCAGGAUUCUUAUACUGAGCAUGGCCCUGUUCUGACAGCUGCUGCAGAGACCCAAACUGAGAUCUGGGCCCUGUUCUGCCAGGCGCUGAAGAGACCCCAGGCUACAGAAUAACGUCCACUUUUUGCUCCAGAUCCUCCCAUCCUCCCAGGGGGAAGGCAAUGGCUGCAGUGGAGCUGGCUCAGGAUCUGGUGACUUUCGAGGAGGUGGCUGUGUAUUUCACUAGGGAGGAAUGGGCCCUGCUGGACCCUGUUCAGAGAGCCCUCUACAGAGAUGUCAUGCAGGAGAACUAUGAGACGGUGACCUCGCUGGACUACCAGGCAGCAGGGAGGGAGGAGGUAAUGAGAGACGAGGAGGGAACACAAGAAGCUCCCAAGGUGCCGGGAGGUGGUGCCGGCUGCGAGUAAUGGGAAGAAGCAGAGGGGAGUGUGGAGAAAAGGCACCCAGGAAGUGGGCUCGGUGGUCAGUGGGAGGGAGGAGAGGUAUGGAGAUCUAGAGCUGUAUGAGAUCCCAGACCUUUAACCCUGAAUCCCUACCCAAACCUCAGGUAAAUCCUAAACUUCAGCAUAACCACUCUCACAAAGCCUCAACUUAAUAUAAGGCCCUGAACUGUAGUAAGCUUAGGCUACAUUUACUAAAUCAUAUCACUAAAUCGACCACGGCUAGAUCGAUCUCAGAGCAUCAAUCCCGGCUGUAGUGUCGACCUGCCCUUAAUAACUCAUUUCUUUGUGCUCACCUCUGUCAUAAACAGAUAGCUAAGGGUUAAUGUCUCUUUCACCUGAAGCACCUGACCAGAGGACCAAUCAGGAAA